CAGCCGCCGCGGUAAAACGAAGGGUGCAAGCGUUACUCGGAAUUACUGGGCGUAAAGCGUGCGUAGGUGGUGGUUUAAGUCCGUUGUGAAAGCCCUGGGCUCAACCUGGGAAUUGCAGUGGAUACUGGGUCACUAGAGUGUGGUAGAGGAUAGUGGAAUUUCCGGUGUAGCAGUGAAAUGCGUAGAGAUCGGAAGGAACAUCUGUGGCGAAGGCGACUAUCUGGGCCAACACUGACACUGAGGCACGAAAGCGUGGGGAGCAAACAGGAUUAGAUACCCCUGUAGUCCCUGUCUCUUAUAA
rnacentral:rRNA from 1 species